AUUGAACGCUGGCGGCAGGCCUAACACAUGCAAGUCGAGCGGAUGAAGGGAGCUUGCUCCCGGAUUCAGCGGCGGACGGGUGAGUAAUGCCUAGGAAUCUGCCUGGUAGUGGGGGAUAACGUCCGGAAACGGGCGCUAAUACCGCAUACGUCCUGAGGGAGAAAGUGGGGGAUCUUCGGACCUCACGCUAUCAGAUGAGCCUAGGUCGGAUUAGCUAGUUGGUGGGGUAAAGGCCUACCAAGGCGACGAUCCGUAACUGGCCUGAGAGGAUGAUCAGUCACACUGGAACUGAGACACGGUCCAGACUCCUACGGGAGGCAGCAGUGGGGAAUAUUGGACAAUGGGCGAAAGCCUGAUCCAGCCAUGCCGCGUGUGUGAAGAAGGUCUUCGGAUUGUAAAGCACUUUAAGUUGGGAGGAAGGGCAGUAAGUUAAUACCUUGCUGUUUUGACGUUACCAACAGAAUAAGCACCGGCUAACUUCGUG
rnacentral:rRNA from 1 species